rnacentral:tRNA from 1 species
GCCUUCGUAGCUCAGUGGAUAGAGCACCGGUUUCCUAAACCGUAGGUCGCAGGUUCGAUCCCUGCCGAGGGCAC